rnacentral:tRNA from 1 species
UUUAAUAUGGCAGAUUAGUGCAAUGGGCUUAAAUUCCAUAAAUAAAGUUAAUAAAAUACUUUUAUUAAAA